AUGAGUAGUUUCAGUACUUCGGCGCCAGUUAACUAUAAUGUGGGUGUGGUUCUGGACUUCGAUGCAUGGGAUGGGAAGAUAUGGCUGAGCUGCAUCAACAUGGCUCUCUCUGACCUGUAUGCUUCUCACCCCGACUAUACCACUAGGCUCCUUCUGCACCAAAGGAACUCCCCACCGGAUGUUGUUCUUACAGCUGCUGCAGCACUUGACCUAAUCAAGAAUGUUGAAGUGCAAGCCAUCCUAGGCCCCGAUUCAUCGAUGCAAGCCAAGUUCAUCAUCAACCUUGGAGAAAAAGCACACGUUCCCAUAAUCUCAUUUUCAGCAACAAGCCCGUCUCUCACUUCAAUCCGUAGCUCAUUCUUUUUCCGAGCCACGCAAAAUGACUAGUCGCAAGUGAAAGCCAUAAGCGACAUCAUUCAAGCCUUUGGUUGGCGACAAGUAGUCCCCAUCUACGUCGAUAACGAGUUUGGAGAAGGAGUAAUCCCUUUCCACUCCGAUGCUCUGCAGGAAAUCGAUGUCCGAAUGCCUUACCGGAGUGUGAUAUCGCCGACGUACUGCCACUGAUGACCAACUUGAAGUAGAACUUUACAAGUUGAUGACAAUGCAAACAAGCGUCUUCGUUGUCCACAUGUUACCUUCACUCGCGUCUCGAAUUUUUGAGAAAGCAAGGAAGAUUGGGAUGAUGGGUGAAGGUUAUGUUUGGAUAAUGACUAAUGGAAUUGCUAACUCGUUUGAUUCCUUUAAUUCAUCUUUUGUCAAGCAGAACAUGCUAGGGGUAUUGGGUUUGAAAACAUAUGUCCCAAGCACAAAAGCACUCGAGGAUUUUAGGGUUAGAUGGAAAAGGCAAUUCCUGCAAGACAAUCCAACCGCCAUUGAUGUGAAUUUGGACGUCUUUGGAUUGUGUGCUUAUGAUGCGGCCAAGGCACUGGCCAUGGCAAAGUGGAGAAGGUUGGGAGUACUAAGAACUUGACCUUUCAAAACAUGAAUUCUUCAGGUAGUUCUAAUUACACAAACAUAUUUGGGGUGGCUCAAAUUGGUCCUGAACUUGUCCAAGCACUAUUGAGUACAAGUUUCAGAGGGAUUGCAGGUAAUUUCAGUCUUCCAAAAGGCCAACUACCAGCAUCAACUUUUCAGAUUGUGAAUGUGAUAGGAAAUGGGGAAAAUGUUGUUGGGUUUUGGACACCCAAAAAUGGACUUCUGAAAAGCUUGAGUUCUGCAAAGAGAGUGAGCAGUUCUUCUAAUGAUAGCCUUGGAUCUAUUAUAUGGCCUGGAGAUAGAUUGUCUGCUCCAAAGGGUUGGCAGAUACCUACAAGAGGGAGAACGCUGAAAAUUUUAGUCCCAGCAAAGAAAGGAUUUAACGAAUUUGUCAAUGUCACACAUGAUAGUAGCACGAACACAACCCAGGCCAGGUCAUCGGUGGAUACUGCUUAGAUGUCUCUGAAGCAGUGAGACAAGCAUUACCUUAUGACUUAUCUUAUGAAUUUAUUCCUUUUGCAAAGCCUGAUGGUGAGCAUGUUGGUAGUUACAAUGAUUUGGUCGAUCAAGUGUAUCUAGGGAACUAUGAUGCUGCGGUGGGAGAUAUAACCAUUAGAGCAAACAGGUCCUCUUAUGUCGAUUUCACCUUGCCAUACACAGAAUCCGGUGUGUUUAUGAUUGUGCCCAUCAAAGACAAGAGAAGUAAGAACACUUGGGUGUUUUUGAAGCCCUGGACAUUGGAGCUUUGGGUAACAAGUGGUUGUUUUUUUGUGUUCAUUGGUUUUGUGGUUUGGGUCCUUGAACAUCGGGUAAACGACGAUUUUCGAGGGCCUCGUGAGGCUGUGUUUUUCUCUUUAUCGACCGUUGUUUUCGCACACAGGGAGCGAGUGGUGAGCUACUGGGCUAGGAUUGUCGUGAUUAUAUGGUGCGUUGUAGUUCUAAUAUUGACUCAGAGCUAUACUGCAAGUUUAACAUCAAUGUUAACAGUUCAGCAGCUUCAACCAACUGUUACUGAUGUGAACUUACUCCUAAAGAAUGAAGAAAAUGUCGGUUAUCAAACGGGUUCUUUUAUUUACGGUAUUUUGAGGGAACUAGGGUUUCAUCCCAAUAAACUCAAGACCUAUAAUACCACAGAACAGUUGCAUGAACUAUUUCAAAAUGGGAGUAAAAAUCAUGGCAUUUCUGCCGCUUUUGAUGAAAUCCCCUACAUUCGACUUUUUCUUGCCACCUAUUGCUCGAGAUACACGAUGCUUGAUCCAACAUAUAAAGCUGAGGGUUUUGCCUUUGUCUUCCCAAAAGGUUCGCCUCUUGCUCGUUAUGUUUCAAGGGCGAUCUUGAAUGUGAAUGAGGGAGGUCAGACGAAGAAGAUUGAGCACAAAUGGUUCGGUAAAGACUCGAGUUGUCCAGAUCUAAACAAGCCCUCUUCACAGAGUCUUGGCAUUGAAAGCUUUUGGGGACUAUUCCUCAUUGCUGGUGGUGCUUCAUUGCUAGCUCUACUCGUAUUUUUUGUCUUGCUCUUGAUUAAAAAGAGGCGCAUCUUAAUGGACUCGAAUUCAGGAGAUUCACUCUGGACAAGAAUUGUUAAUAUAAUUCGUAGACCUGAGCGUACUCGUCCAUCACCGGAGGAUAUCAGACUAGGGAACCUAUUAUUAAGGUUACUUAGAGACCGAGAAAGACUCGGUAGAGCAACUGAAUUAGCUAGAAGGGGUGUGAAUAGGCUCAACUCAAUGUAGUUUACGAUGGGCAAUCUUUGUUUCUCCUAAAUGUUAGCUUCGGGAUCCUCUUUUUGGAUGUCCUUUUUCACGGUAUUGGUUAUCUUGUUCUUUGCUCUUCUUUGCUCGGGAGUAGUUUUGGUCUAGUCCCCCAUGCCACGUACUCUUGUUUGUUUGCGUUUAAUUUUUCUGGUUAAUAAAUGUUCUACCAAGGGAUGGGCAGUGAGCUCCCUGCUGUGAUAGACUGAAAGUGCAUGGUCUUCCCAAGAAGAUUUGCCUCUUGCUCAUGAUCUUUCAAUGAUGAUCUUGAAUGUGAUUGAUCGAGGACAUGUGGUUCGGUAACUGUUAGAAAUUGUUGUGGAUUUAAUAUUAAUAUUAGAGUUUGUGGUUUAUAUGCGGAAGUUUUUAGUGUGUGAUGAGCUAGGAGAAAGUAUUUAGAACAAAGGUAUUUAGGAGCUAGAAGUUGGGAGAAGUAUAUGUUAACUAGGACAAUUGGGUUUAGGAGGAUAGAGGAGAAGGUGAUAAUUAAGAGGGGGGAAGACGCUUAGUUUAGCUUGCUUACUUCUAUAUUCAUUUCAUUUAAUUUCAUUAGUUUC